UGUAACUGACGUUGAGCCUCAAAAGCGUGGGGAGCGAACAGGAUUAGAUACCCUGUUGGUCCACCCCGUAAACGAUGAUUGNUAAGUGUUGAAGGGUUUCCGCCUUUCAGUGCUGCAGCAAACGCUUUAACCAUUCCCCCUGGGGAGUACGACCCCAAGGUUGAAAUUCAAAGGAAUUGACGGGGGCCCCCCCAAGCGGUGGANCAUGUGGUUUANUUCGAAGCAACGNGAAGACCCUUACCAGGUCUUGACAUCCUUUGACCCCUCAAGAAAAAGAGCUUCCCCUUGGGGGGCAAANUGCCAGGUGGUCCAUGGUGGUCGUCANCUCGUGUCGUGAGAUGUUGGGUUAAGUCCCGCAACGAGGGCAACCCUUAUUUUUAGUUCCCAUCAUUUAGUUGGCCACUCAAGCGAGACUCCCGGUGNCAAACCGGGGGAAGGGGGGGAGGAGGUCAAAUCAUCAUCCCCCUUAUGCCCUGGGCUCCCCACUUGNUCCAAGGGGAAGUACAACGAGUUGGGAAGUCGGGGGGUUAAGCUAAUUUUUUAAAGCUUUUUCCAUUUCGGAUUGUAGGCUCCAACUCGCCUACAUGAAGCUGGA
rnacentral:rRNA from 1 species